rnacentral:lncRNA from 1 species
GUAUCUAAUGAAAGGGCGUAAUCACGUGGUCUCGUUGCAAACUUCCGGUGAAAUCGAAUGGUGAAUGUAAGUGCGGCACGGCGAGGUGGAGGAGAUUCGGACCAUUCCGAGAGAAUAUUAGGUCAAGAAAAACAUUCUCAUUUUUGUAAAUAAGGAAAGCUAGGUAAGUUCAUCUGUUAGUUAUGGCCUUUCUUUAAAGAUUCCGUACAAAUUUCUGUUCGCUGUUAUUACAUGGUGGCUGCUGUUUUGGACUGGAGUUGUCUUUAUAAGUAUUGUGGAGGUCGACUACUGUCCAAGGUGCGCUCAGUCUGACUUUGAAAUUAAAUGUCUACAGCCUAAGUUCCCGCGAAAACAUUAUUAGGCCGACUUUGGUUAUCUCACUGUUUUUUCGUUCGUUUAUUAUUUCCCGUCUUCUUAAAACAUUUUUAAAAUGGCUUUUGUAUUAAACAGAACGUGUAUCUAAUUACAUUGUUUUACAUGAAACAACCCUGUUGUGAACUUUUUAUCUCGGUCGGUUUAUUUUAAGUUAGAACGACUGAUAAAUAUCUCCCUAUCCCAAAUAUAUAUAUGGUCGAUGUCGUCUUCGUUAUAUUUAUUCGUUCCACUUCUCAUACACACACACGUACAAUCAUUCGCAGCUUUUUGCCCCCUCCUUAUAAACAAGCCGUCUGUAUUUUUGUGUGUCACUGUGUCCUCCCGACUCUUCGAGACUGCCAUGUCGGUGUCGUUGAAGCUGUCUUUGAUUUUUAAGCAAUUUCUUUCUCUCAUUCCCUCUACAUUCUUUUCUUUUUUUUUUCUACGAAAACACAGCAUUUAUUGUCAUAAAAUAAAUUUUUCUAGCUAGUCUAAUAAUUAAAUCGAAAUGUGGAGAGAAAAAUAUUGUUUAGAAUUUCGUCGAAUUGUUGUUUAUGACCUGAUUGUUGUACAAUAACAAAUUCGCACAAAAUCACUAGCGCAUCUAUAUAUAUAUAUGUGUAUAUAUACGCACACAAACCCGUCCUUGUUCGUCUUAUUUAUUCAUUUUAUUAGUAAACACGUUCCUAUUUGCGAUGAGUAGAUUGUUCCAAAUGCAUUUAAUCGUACCUUGAAAAUAAGCUGUAAUCGCAGAGCAAGGGUUGUGGUGUGUGCCUUACUGAUGUAGUUCAAUGAUGGUGUGGGGGGUUAAUUUAUCUGCUGAUUUCGGCAUCAGUCUUGGCCUUUCCUAUUCUGCCGAUCAUAUGUAUGCACGUGGCAGUUGAUGUAGUGGGGAGCAGGAGUAAAACCUCCCUCUACUCUCGGACAGAACAAAAAGCUGUUAUAAAAAAGCUAAAUGACACAUUUUAUUUUUCCUUUUCACGUUUUUCCUGUCUCUGUCUAUCUCGUGUUUAUGUAACUGAAUUGUUUGUUUAUACUCAAGGAAAAAAAAUCACCCUUCGAUUUAUUUCUCUUACAACAUUGGUUGUAAUCAGUCGAGUGACUACAAAAUUCUAGUGACAUAAUAUUGUCCGAUGACGAAACCAUUUAUCCCUUCUUUAAAAAAAUAACAUCGUACGUGUAAUGUUUGCUUGAAGGGGGAGACGUUUUGGAUCGUGUUUUGCUAAGGUCUCAUAUCAGAACUAUUCACAACAACAACCGUCGUUCUUUUCGUUUUGUUUUGUUGUUCUCACAAAAUUAAAUCUCGUGUUUAUUAUUCAAGGUCUAAAUAAAUCGUUAAAAUGUUGGAGCAGGCUAUAAAAUUAUUGAAUAUUGUAAAUCGAAGAAAAAUUCAAAGAAUAACAAAAACAAAGAUUGAAACUUGCUAUCCGAAUUAUUUUCAUCUUCAGCUAAUUUUCUAACGUAGUACACGAUAGUAAAUAUAAUAACGGUAAUCAUAACAAUACUUUAUGUACCUAAUAGUCCCGAACUUCUUUAUUUUAUUUUCCUCAUUUGGUAUCUGGCUUAUUUAUUGUUGAACAUGUGAAAAACAUUUGUGACGUUAAACACUUUAUAAAUAUAAAUAAUAUGACACGAUACCGCUUCGUCACAUCAUUUUAUUUUAGGUACACACACAAUUUUAUAUACUUAUAUAUAACUAUAUACACAAAUAAAUACUUUUUGCAAAGUGGUCGAUACACGCUUUUAGUGAAAAGUAAAUAUGCGCUAUGGCCUUAGUGGUUCACAUCGUUAUUUAGACAGAUAUAUAUAUAUAUAUAUACACACGCACUGUUAUACGCACAUCCGUGUUGACAUUAAGAUAAAAAUAAAUUAUAUGAGGAUCAGACCUCUUGACUUUUGGAGGUCCUACCAGACUAACCUGAAGUGCAGGCGAUGUUCUGUCUAAACCUUUGUAAAUUGACGCCUUUAGAGGAAUUUGGACGGUAUUUGUGGUUCCGAGGUAGGAUAAUUGGGAUUAUACUAAAAAUUUCACUGGUUAGAGCGAGGCAGUGGGAAUCGUGACAGAUAAGUGCCGCGAGUAAGCCUGUGAAAUAUAGGUACAAGCUGGUUCAGGACAAAAACGACUGCUUGUAGUCACGGCAGAAGAUACAUAAAAGAAGAAACUGACUAUAGAGUAUUAGACUCUAUUACGGAUUAUACAUAAGUUUUAUAAAUGGACAGCACUGGACCGGGAUGAAAUUUUUAUUCUAAUUUUUAAAAGGAACCUCAGCAUUUGAGAUGCAGUUUUUGCAAUAUUUGUAGUUACGAGAGAUUUGCAGAAAUUGUAAGGCCUAGUAAUUGUAUUAACUUUAAGGACUUUAGCUGAGUGCUGUAAUGCAUGGGAUGGGUGUUGUGUAGACCCUGAUGUACCCGAGUUGAUAGAUGUGGUUCGGGGUGAGUUCUGUCAGAUCUGAUUGGGAAUUUCCAAUCUUAUUGAAAGGGAAGCUGGUGUUGAUACUCCCGAUAUAACCGAUGGCCUUGCUGUUGUUAAGGGCAGUAAUUUUGCUACUGUUGAAGUUUAGAACGUUCAGGUUCCAUUGUUGUGUGAUUAUCAUCGUGUUAACGUCCAUGUUUUCCAUGGGUUGGACGGAGCUUAUUAAGGCAGAUUUUCUAUGGCCGGAUGCCCAUACUUGUUUCCAAGCAUGGCCAGUUAGAUUUUUUUGUAGAAUUUUGGAAGUGCAUGAAAAAGUGGGAGGAUUCUGCAAAGGCAGUAGAGAUUUUCUUGAUAGGGAUAAAAAAAAAAAAAAUGCCACUUUAGAGAUGAGAACUUGGAGUUAAUAUUGCAUAGGAAUUAAGAGUGGAACCUACUUUCGUAGUUGUGUUGCUUAGACCCAAGUCAGCUUUGAUUGAACUAUAAUCAAAGGUGUUUUAUAGAUAUGACCAUCACAUAUUUUCCAAGCAUAAAAUACCUCUUCAUACUUUAUCUUCUUGUUUAAUUUUCUUAAUGAUGGUUGUGUGUAGUUUUAGAGAAAUUUGGCUGCUCUUUUGAGCAGAUUAGGUAACCAUGUUUUGAGGCCCUCUUAUUGUGUUAGUGUAUAAUGUUUGGCUGUUGUCAUAAGAACUUCUGGUCACUAUAUGAUCUUACAGCCCAUUGUUCAUCAGUCUAUUUAAAUAAGGCCUCUUCAUUAUGCUAACUUUUCCUGUCAUAGCAGUGAUAAUACUGUCAGCCAACAUGGGGACCUCUUCAUGGUAGGCUUCACCUGUUAGAAAUAAUAGUGGAAUCUUCAAAUCACAUUGAAUGUCUUAGGGUAAAAUGGAAGAAUACAUUGGACUGUGUAAUCCUAGAUACAUUAAGAUCAUUUCGAAAUUGAACCAAUCGUAUGACUGGCACCGGCAGAUGCCAGGACCCCUGGACUGGUGGUAUGUAAAAAGCACUAUCCGAAUCAUGGCCGAUGCCAGCGCCGCCUCGACUGGCUUCCGUGCCGGUGGCAUGUAAAAUGCACCAAUCCGACUGUGGCCGUUGCCAGCCUCGCCUGGCACCUGUGCGGGUGGCACGUAAAAGGCACCCACUACACUCACGGAGUGGUUGGCGUUAGGAAGGGCAUCCAGCUGUUGAAACAUUGCCAGAUAAGACUGGAGCCUGGUGCAGCCUUCUAGCUUCCCAGAUCCCUGGUCGAAUCGUCCAACCCAUGCUAGCAUGGAGAACGGACGUUAAACGAUGAUGAUGAUGAUCAUCAUUACACACCUGUUUUUUUUUUUUUUUCUGGUAGCAUGGGUUAAAUGGGCCUUGUGUAAUCUCAUGGCCUUUGGUCAUCUGAUGUACCGGGACUAUGUGUAUUUUAUCUUGAGAUUAGCACUAGUGGGACUGUAUGACAAUAUGGACUAGAUACAUUUUAUCAUGACAGUGAUACUGUAGAAAUUAUCUGCAGAAUUAUGCUUGCUUUGCUGUGGCCUGCAGAGACUGCUCUUCUGCUGGUUAAUUUUUUUGGGUUGUAGAGAGGAGACAGGUUUUUUUAUAGCUGGAUGCAUUUCCUUUCACCAACAUUUUUACAGCCUAGUAAGGAGGAAGGAGCCACUCCCUCGGUCAUAAAAGACCAUGGGCUUGCACCUAAAAAGUUACCCUCCAAGACACAAUUUCGGACAAGGUUGUUUAAGGAAGACCAUCAGUUGCCUAUGCUUACCAGCUUUCUCUCUGCAUGUCACCAAUGUUAUCCAAGGGAAGGGCAAAGGGCAAUACUGUUUGGCACCAGUAAUGUUACAGCUCAUGUCUCUGGCUGAGUGAACUGGAGCAAUGUGAAAUAAAGUGUCUUGUUCAAGAACACAAUACUCAGCCUGGUCCAGGAAUUGAACUCACUACCUCAUGAUUGUGAGCCCAAUGCUCUAACCACACAUAUACAUCAUGCUUCUUUUCAGUUAACCAUACAACCAUCUCUGUGUUUACUUUUUCACUCUGGAUAACUCUCUUUACUCUUUUACUUGUUUCAGUCAUUUGACUGCGGCCAUGCUGGAGCACCGCCUUUAGUCGAGCAAAUCGACCCGAGGGACUUAUUCUUUGUAAGCCCAGUACUUAUUCUAUUGGUCUCUUUUGCCGAACCGCUAAGUGACGGUGACGUAAACACACCAGCAUUGGUUGUCAAGCGAUGCUGGGGGGACAAACACAGACACACAAACAUACACACACACACACACAUAUAUAUAUACGACGGGCUUCUUUCAGUUUCCGCCUACCAAAUCCACUCACAAGGCUUUGGUCGACCCGAGGCUAUAAUAGAAGAUACUUGCCCAAGAUGCCAUGCAGUGGGACUGAACCCGGAACCAUGUGGUUGGUAAGCAAGCUACUUAGCACACAGCCACUCCUGCGCCUAAGUUAGGCAAAAUUAAAAAAAAAACCUUGUGGGUCAGUUAAGUUCUUAACAGUGACCCUCUUGGUUUAAGGUUGGGAAUGUUAUUCUUGGGAUUAGGAAUUAACUCUGGACUCAUAUUAUUUGCAAGUUAAUUGAUUUAUUUAGCAUUUCCUUCUCAUUGGUUUUUUUUCCUGUUGUGCUAGGAUUUUGAAAUAAUCCUGUUCUAAUCAUUGUUGUUUACGCUCCGAAUUAGCGCUCAUUUAGUAUACCUAUGAUCAAAGGCAUUAAAAGCCAUGAUUUCUCCAUCUUGAUUUCAGACACAGCGUAUCUAAAGUGGUGUUUGAGGAAAACUCGGCUGCUAUUUCUAGCAGAUCUGGUUUCUGCAUAGUGAUUUCCUAAUUGGCUAACAUUUUCACAAGUAAAUUGUUGCAUCAUUAGCAAUUAAUUAUGCCAGUCUCUUGUGAUAUUAUAAUGUUGUAAUAGAAGAAACAUUGGGAGAAUUUUUGUUACUAUCUUCAGAACUGUCAUGUUGGCUACCAUUUAUUUCUAUAUUUAUCUUGCUACAUAGGUGCAGGUGCAGCUGUGCAGUUCAGCAGUUUGCUGCUCAAUCGCAUGGUUUUUGGGUUCAGUCUUGGUGCAUGGAGCCCUGGGCAAGUGUUUUGUACUAUAGCCGUGGGCCAACCAAAGCCUUUUGAAUGGAUUCGGAAGAUGGAAACUUUAAGAAGCUUGUUGUGUGUGUGUGUAUGUUGUGUCUCCUUGUCUUCAAAUCACAAAUAUCGUACAGGCAAUGCCAUUCAUUACCAAUAUUCUGCAAGGACAUGGCUGGCCAUGAGGAAAUAUUACCUUACUUGGAAACAGGUGAGGAUUGGUGCUGAGAAGGGCAUUCAGCUAUAGAAAAUCUGCCUUAAUAGACUUCAUUUAACCCAUGCAAGCAUGGAAGAGUGGAUGUUAAAACAAUGGUGUUUGUAUUCACUCAAAUUCUGUCCACAUAUAUAUAUUUGUUGCCCUAUUUAAGGAUCCAGUUUUUUUUUUUUUUGAGAUCUAUCUCAAAUAAUUCAAACUAUACUACCAUAAAAAAAUUGAAAGUAUUAUUUAUCAUUGGCAAAAUACUUAUAAAGCAUUCAUUGGACAAAAACUUGAUGCAUUUAUUUUUUAGUUCAAAUUGUGCAUUGGAUGAAAUUUGCAUUAUUUAGUUAUGACUCUUGCAUUUCUUUCACUCUUCAAGAAAAAAUAAAUACUAAUCAAAUACUUGGUUGAUAUGAUCAUAUAUUCUCUGCCCCUAAAUGUGUGGCUGUGUUUAUGUAAGAAAUCAUAAUUAUAAUGCUUUUAUGGAGUUUAUGAAAACUUUUUAAACACUUACACCUUAACAUAUCUAUUUAUCCUACCACAUUGUAUCUACACAACUACACAGUCUGUCCACUUAGGUUUCUAGAUAAUAUACUUGUGUAAAUGCAUAUGUGUUUGGUAAUCAUUAUUUCAAGUGUAAAUCUCAUCUUAAUUGAUAAGAGCUGAGAAUGGGUACUAUGUAUAUAUCUGUGGGUAAAAAUAUGCCACUAUCUGUUUGUAAAAGGUAACAAAGUUGAGAGGAAGAUCUUGCGUUUGAUAAGGUACUGGGUAACCAUGUAUUCUCAAAUAUUGGCAUAUGGUUGUUGUUGUUGUUGUCACAAUGUACUUAUCAUGCUGAAUCUAUGACUCUAGCAUAAGUAUAAACAUACAAAGUUUAGCCUAUUUUUAUACAUAAUACAAUAUAAUUGUUGCUUCUGAAUGGUGUAUUAUUAGAUUUGAAAACAAGCUAUGAGCUGAUUAUAUAAUGUUAUUGCAAGGGCACAAUGAUUAAGAAGAGCAUUUACCAUCUUUGAUAGGUGAGUGUUACUCCUGUUAGCAUGUCCAAAAUAUUCUCUCUGCAUUCAAAACAUUUUGCUCUUAUACAGAACCUAAAAAUCCCGCUUCCUAUCUUAUAUUUUCUUGAAGCAGUGAAAACAAAGACAGCGGAUUUGCAGUACCAUUAGAGUCACAGAAUGCUUUGUGGUAUUUGUUUAACCCUUUAGUGUUUAAACUGGCCAAAUCCGGCCCAAUAUAUUCUACAUGUUUUAUAUUCAAACUGGCGAUAUCUAGCCUCUCACACUUAACCUACAAUGCCAUUCUAAAAAUAAACAAUCAUGUCACUGAAACCUCAAAGCCGUAAGAUAAUCCAGGAUUAAUCCAAAACAAUUUGAGUGAAAAAGUAUUACAUUUAACAGAGUAAUCUGAACACUAAAGGGUUAAGCUCUGCUCUCAAGUCUAAAACUCUGUUCUUAACCCAUUCAAAAUCUGUAAUAACCCUUUAGCGUUCAGAUUAUUCUAACAAACAUAAUACUUAUUGUUUCACAUUGAUUUGAAUUAAUCAUGCAUUAUCUCAUAUCUUCAAGAUCUUGAUGGUGUAAUUACCUAAUGUAGAAUAACAUUGUAGGGUAGGUGCGAGAGCCUGGAUCUGGUCAGUUUGAACAUAAAACAGAUUAAAUAUUUUGGCUGGAUAUGGCUGGUUUAAAUACUAAAGGGAUAAAGUACCAAUGGAGGAUUGGUAAAAUUGUUGGAACAUCAGGUGUGAUGCUUUGUGAUACAUCUGUUAUGGUGGCAUUUUGAGUUUAAAUUCUGUCUUGUGUCUAUCACCAACCAUCUUAUAGUGGAAAGCAGAGUUUUUGAGGCCUGGCUGAUAGUGAUAAGACUCUAAUGUUACAUGGACACAUCAAUGUGCAUGAAUGCAAAAUUCAGACUCUUUACUAGGAGCAUGAUAAACAAUCCAAUUCUUGUGAGCAAAAAAGCCAUCAGAUGGAAUUUGGUCUGAUGAGUUUUGCUUUCUCUUCCUUUCUAUCACUGAUCUUUGAGAAUUUGUAGAUGUCAUGGAUGCUGCUGUUCCUCUUCUGACUCAACAGACUGAACAUUUAAUAAUGAAAGCCAGAUUACAUUCUCAUUUCAAGAGGAGCCUCUUUCUCCAUGACAUUUGAAAAUUCUUAUUGAAAUAUUUACUUUGAACUUUGGUUCAAGGCCACAAAUUUGUAAGAGAGGGACAUCGUUGAUUUGAAUGAAAUUUGUAAGGGAGGGACAUCGUUGAUUUGAAUCAGGGGUCUGUAAUGUACUAGUCUAGGAUGGUGAUAGUGGGCCUACAAAGAUUAAAACUCUCGAAUAGUUUCAGGGUGACAGCUGCUGUAAAAACAUGAGCAGAAAAGGAAUUCCAGAGGGUGGACACUCUUGGGAUUUAAGUGGUUGGAAUUAGCAUAGAACUAGGGAAGGGAUACACAAUAAUGAGUAAUGAGAGAAGAAACAUUUGAGUGAAGAAUGCUUGGAUGGAGGUACCAAGAAACCAGUGGCUCCAAGAAGCAGCAGCCACUGUUGUAGUGGUGGGAGAGAAAGUGAGACAGAACAGUAUGUCUGGGUCAAAGGUUGAAGUGUGUUGAUGUGCCAUUCAGUGAUGGUGGUGAGGCAGUCUUGGAUGUGGCCUAAGAUCUGUAUUUGAUGUUGUAAAAAUUGUAAGGAAUUUAUUCUAGUAGUUAAAUGUAGGCAGCCAUACAGAGUGCAAUGAACUGAAAAUUUUUUUGUCUGUUGAAAUUAUACCUAUGAUGAGAAAUAAAUUCAUGAACAUUGAUGACCACGACUCGCAAAUGGAGCAAGGGAAACAAGUCCCAAAAUUUCAAUUGAUCAAAAAUUAGAGAUGGGUAGGGAUGAGGGUGUAUCUUAUUUUUGUAACUUGUAGACAUGUUUCAGCCUUAUUAGAUCUCCUCAGUGAAGUGUUGUCAACAUACUGCUACCAAGAUUUUUGAGUGACUAAUAAUGUUUGUGCAUAUAUAUAUAUAUCAUAAUUUUGUGUACACUUACCAUGUUAUCAUGGGUUGGAGGUUUUGAUAAGCAAUAGUCAUGAUUUGAAUUUCUUUGCUCAUGGGCCCUAACCACAACAUUAACUGUUGUUUAUGCUGCUCAACUGGCCUUUCAUUCACUUGUGCUCCAUCAUUCAUAGAAGUUAAUAAUCAUAUGCGGCGCUAGCAACGGCUGGCGCCGCCCCGACUGGCCUCGUGCCAGUGGCAUGUAAAAAGCACCAUCCGAUUGUGGCUGUUGCCAGCCUCGCCUGGCCCCCGUGCCGGUGGCACGUAAAUGGCACCAUCCGAUCGUGGCUGUUUGCCAGCCUCGUCUGGCACCUAUGCCGGUGGCACGUAAAAAGCACCCACUACACUCACAGAGUGGUUGGCGUUAGGAAGGGCAUCCAGCCGUAGAAACAUUGCCAGAUCAGACUGGGCCUGGUGCAGCUGUCUGGCUUCCCAGACCCCAGUUGAACCGUCCAACCCAUGCUAGCAUGGAAAGCGGAUGCUAAUCGAAGAUGGUGAUGAUGAUGAUGAACUUUACUCAGCAUCUAUGGCCAAGACAGCUAAUUAUUCAAAUUUCGAUGAAUUAGUCCAGCAAGUUGAAUGUAUUUGGCACAGACAUGAUCUGGGUUAAAAUGUCAAGUUGACCAGUUCCUUCAUCAUUAUCAUUUUAAUAUUCUCUUUUCCAGUCUUGCACAGGUUACAUGAAAUUUGUUAAAGCAGAUCUUCUAUGGCUGGAUGUUCUUCUUGUCACCAAACCUUCAUCUAAUUCCAAGCAAGACAUUUCUCCUAGUCCUAACAUCAGCAGCACAAUGGCUGGACAUGUUUUCAUGGAGCAUUGCAGGAUGUCAACACAAAACAACUCACACAUACACAUGAUGGGUCUUUUUCAGAUUUCAGCUACCAGAUCUUUUUACAAGGCUUUGGUCAUCUUGAUACUUGUAGUAGAAGACACUUGCUGAUAAUGCCAUGCAGCAGAACCAAACCCAUGUGGUUGUCAAAUGAACUUUGCAACCAUGCUGCUGUUCCUGAACUUAAGUUAGUGAAAGUUUCUAGCCUCUGCAGAUAUUCUACACUUAAUACUCUUUACUCUUUUACUUGUUUCAGUCAUUUGACUGCGGCCGUGCUGGAGCAGUGCCUUUAGUCGAGCAAAUCGACCCCGGGACUUAUUCUUUGUAAACCCAGUACUUAUUCUAUUGGUCUCUUUUUACCGAACCGCUAAGUGACAGUAACAUAAACACACCAGCAUCGGUUGUCAAGCAAUGCUAGGGGGACAAACACACACACGCAUAUAUAUAUAUAUAUAUAUAUAUAUAUACAUAUAUACGACAGGCUUCUUUCAGUUUCCGUCUACCAAAUCCACUCGCAAGACUUUGGUCGGCCCGAGGCUAUAGUAGAAGUCACUUACCCAAGGUGCCACACAGUGGGACUGAACCCGGAACCAUGUGGUUGGUAAUCAAGCUACUUACCACACAGCCACUCCCGUGCCUUUCUGCUAUGAGCAUACUUCUUGCUCUAACUACAUAUAAUUUACAUUGAAGAAACCUUUUGUCGCCAGCAAAUUUAACAGCUCUCUGAACAUUAAUGCCUUUCUAAUUCCAAUUUCUCUACUCUCUGUAUAUCCAUUGUAAUUAUAUCACUCAGAUAACUGAAGCUACCUGCUACAUCUAGGUAAUCAUCUGAGCUGCCGAAGAUUUCAUUGUAUGGUGCUCCUGGUUCAUCUGGCCCCUUGUUUCUAUGAGCUUUAUUGCAUAUUAAGAUACUACAGUAUUAAGAUUGCAUAUUAAGAUCACUUCACUAUUGUGAAGGUGCAUGGUUUAGUGGUUAGGGGCAUUUGACUCACGAUCGUAAGGUCGUGAGUUCAAUUCCCAACGGCGCGUUGUGUCCUUGAGCAAGACACUUUAUUUCACGUUGCUCCAGUCCACUCAACUGGCAAAAAUGAGUAGUACCUGUAUUUCAAAGGGCCAGCCUUGUCACACACUGUGUCACGCUGAAUCUCUCAAAGAACUACGUUAAGGGUACACGUGUUUGUGGAGUGCUCAGCCACUUACACAUUAAUUUCAUGAGCAGGAGUGGCUGUGUGGUAAGUAGCUUGCUUACCAACCACAUGGUUCCGGGUUCAGUCCCACUGCAUGGCACCUUGGGCAAGUGUCUUCUACUAUAGCCUCGGGCUGACCAAAGCCUUGUGAGUGGAUUUGGUAGACAGAAACUGAAAGAAGCCUGUCGUAUAUAUGUGUGUGUGUGUUUGUGCGUCUGUGUUUGUCCCCACCAACAUCGCUUGACAACCGAUACGGGUGUGUUUACGUCCCCGUAAGUUAGCGGUUUGGCAAAAGAGACCGAUAGAAUAAGUACUGGGCUUACAAAGAAUAAGUCCUGUUGUGCUUGAUUUGCUCGACUAAAGGUGGUGCUCCAGCAUGGCCGCAGUCAAAUGAAUGAAACAAGUAAAAGAGUAAACUGUUUUGUUGAUCGUAUCAGCUAGGACCCUCGUCGUUGCAAUCGACGGAGUGCUCCUCUAAGAUCACUACACCUAUGGUGCUGGAAUUUUGAGCUCUAGGCACAGAUGUGGCUGUGUUUAAGAAGGUUGUUUCCCAAUGACAUGGUUGUGGGUUUACUCCUACUGUAUGAUACUUAGGGUUGGCCAAAGCCUUGUGAGAAACUUAAAAGGCUUCUUUCAGUUUCCGUCUACCAAAUCCAUUCACAAGGCUUUGGUCGGCCCGAGGCUAUAAUAGAAGACACUUGCCCAAGGUGCCACGCAGUGGGACUGAACCCGGAACCAUGUGGUUGGUAAGCAAGCUACUUACCACACAGCCACUCUUGCUCAUGAAAUUAAUGUGUAUAGGUGUGUGUCUGUUAUUGUUUCCUUGCUUUGAGAUUAUGUGCUAGUUGAAAAUGAAUGUAAUAGUCAUGCAAGCAGUGUCCCUCUUUCAUCUUCCAUGGAAACAUGUUAAAUCAUAGGGAAAUAUUAUCUUACUUGAAAACAGGUAAGCGUUGGCAAUAGGAAGGAUAUCUGGUUAUAGAAAAUCCAUUUCAACCAAAUCCUGUCCAACACAUGCAGGCAUGGUAAAGUGGUGUUAAUUAUUAUUUUGGUCUUAGUCUUUUCAGCUUUUUGAAUCUAGACCAUUCUUCUAGAUUUGGAACUCUUUUGUAGCUUGACAGGUUUUGACAAUAUCAACUAGGUUAUUGGUACAUGAAAGUUUUCAGGGGAAACUUUGUAGUUAAUACAUCAGACACUGAGAAAAGGAAGGUUGCACAUCCCAGUAUGAAUUAAAACUAGAAUUUGUUUUUGAAAGAGGGUCAAAAUUUACUCAACAAUCUUGUCUUCAUCUUCCAUCAUAUGCCCAUGUAGCCAAUGAUGAAGCUUAUUCUUUCCUUUAGUAAUGUCCAAAUACUUAUCCACCCCUCUUUUUAGCUGUCUAUGUUGAAUUUGUAUAUUCUUUUUAUUAACCCUUAUAUCAGAAAAAUCUAAUUUAACUGAUUGGAUUUGAACUUGGAGCUGAAAAUUCUUAAUACUUUCCAUGUUUCUUUUCCUGUAUUUUAUUGCUGAGUAACCCAAUAGACUUAUCCAAUUUCUUUCUAGACACUGCUAUUCAUCAUCCUUGUUGAAUUGGUAUUUGUUUUUUCUUUCCUCUAUUCUUGCAUGAUAGUACUACUGAAUACUCAAUCAUAUUAAACUAGAGCUGUUACCUAUUUUCAAGUUAGUGAAAUAAUUUUGUUAUGAUUUCCCCAAGGACACAGCACAAUGCCUUUGCUUCAGUUUCAAUUCCCUUUCAGUUACUAAUAUUUUAUAUUUUAUUAAGAUAUUUUUCUGUUUUAUAUGAGUAGCAAGUACUCAAGCAUUUCCCAGGUUCAUAAAUAACUUAAACAAAUUACACUGGCGCUUUACACAUACACACACAUGUAUAUACAUACACAGUUUGCUCUUCUAUCUUGAAACUGAUUUUCUUUAUGAUUAUAGCUAUUUAAUGUGUAAGAGUAUAUUCUAGAUGGAACUGUAUGUUUGAAAACAAUAUUGUGAAGACAAAGAUGAAGAAGCAAAGAAAAUUUUAGAUUUCACACUAAUUUUAAAUGUCUUUUAUUUCAUGAAAUAACACAGAAAGUGCACAGUAUUGGUAAUAGGCAAAUAAAACCUUGUAUCAUAAACUGUCUCCAAGACUAUAGUGAGAAAAUAAAAUGUAAACCAAGAUACAACUUGAGAUUAAAUGCAAAAUAAUUUCACUUGUUUGUAUAUUUUAUGUCUGUUUUUUUUUCCAUCUUCCAUGGUUUGGGUUUGAGUAUAUACAUAUUGUGGUAGAAUUUUACAGCUGGAUACUCUUCUUGUUGCCAACCCAAACCUGUUUUUCAAAUAAGGGAUCUUUUAUUCACCUGAUUUUCAAAAGUAGAGAGCAAUAAGACAUUGUUUACAGCAAGUGAAAACAUGACGUCGCUGUUUUGCUCAGACAGUAUCUUAUAAAAGUGUGAAAUACCAACAUAGACACAGAACAGAUUUCCAUAUAGUUUACAUCUACCAAUUUUACUUGCAAAGCAUUGGUCAGUCUGAGAACAUUUUGGAGACACUUUGAUGCCACACUAUUGGAUAGAACCUGAAACUGCAUGGUUUCAAAGUAAAUUCCAUGUCACACAGCCUGUUAGCUAUAAAAGAUGCUGUUUUUAAAGAUUACCUUUAGCAUUUAAACUGGCCAUGUCCAGCCCAAAUAUUCUACCUGUUUUAUCUUCUAACUGACAACAUCCAGUCUCUCACAUCUGUCCUGCAAUGUUAUUCUAAAAAUAAGCAAUCAUAACCUUACUGUGUCGGUGGCACGUAAAAAGCACCAUCCGAACGUGGCUGAUGCCAGCGCUGCCUUGACUGGCUUCCAUGCCGGUGGCACUUAAAGAGCACCAGCCAAUCGUGGCCAUUGCCAGCCUCCUCUAGCCCCUGUGCUGGAGGCACAUAAAAAGCACUCACUACACUCACAGAGUGGUUGGCAUUAGGAAGGGCAUCCGGCUGUAGAAACAUUGCCAGAUCAGACUGGAGCAGCCUUCUGGCUUCCCAGACCCUGGUCGAACCGUCCAACCCAUGCUAGCAUGGAAAACGGAUGUUAAACGAUGAUGAUGAUAAUGAACUUUGAAAUCUCAAAGCUACAUGAUAAUACAGGAUUAACUUUAAAGAAUGUGAAUAGAUAAACAUUAUAUUUGAUAGUAAUGUAAAUUCCAAAGGGUUAAAUGAUAUGGCAUUAUGAUUCUGCAAUAUUUCUAAAUCUGUCUGAGGAGUCAGCUUUAAAUCUAGGUCCAUAGUGAUGAUAGCUUAAGGUAAAUUUUGGUAUUAAUCCUUUUCAAGAUGCCUGGCGUCUUGCUGUAUUGAUAAAGGAUCAGGAUGUCUGGUACCUUGCUGUACUGACAAAAGAUAAGAUAACUGGUGCCCUGUGGUACUCAAAGAAGACCUGUACUCUGUUGCAGAAAUGUUAAGACUGUUCCCUUUCGUGGUGCCAUGUAAAAGCACCCUCAACAUGCUGUAAAGUGGUUGGCAUAGAAACCUUGCCAAAUCAGACUGGAGUCUGGUGUAGCUUCCUAGUCAGCUCUGGUCAAAUCGUUCAACCCAUGAUAGCAUGGACAACAGACGUUAAAUGAAGAUGAUAUCCACCCACCUUAGUUCUAUGAGAUGAACUUCUUGUUUUAGGAUGAUCUCAAUUUAAAACCUUUUAUCAAAAUUUCUUAUUAAUUUGUUCAGAACUUCAGCUUAACAUAAGUUACUUUUCUGAAUUCUUCAUUAUUUUCCAAAUUAAUUAAAACAAAGGCAGGGUAACUAAAAAAUACAUCACUAUAUUAUUCUAAUCACUACUUAUAAAUGAGUGGAGUGGUGGUGGGAAUACUAAUGUGAGGUUAAAGAAUAUUCACAUAUUACUGCCAUGUGAAGACCAAUAAACUGAGGAAUAUAAACACAAAGAAAGAAAAAAAAAGCAUACCAUAACAUUGGUCUCAAAUUAGCUUGAGUGUCAAUCAGCUUCAAAUAGAUUUUCGAGUAUCAAUAAGAUGAUUGUGGCUUUUAUGGACUCAGCCAGGGUAAUUAACCUGUAGAGCAACUUUGUGAAUGGUUAGCCAAUGCUGUAACAACACCGGUGUUACAGUGUAGUGCUUAAGCUAAUCCUUUGUUUUCACAGUUUCAUUUUCUGUGCUUAGUGUUUAGAAACCACAUCUCUUAUUGCUAAUGUAGUCAGUAAUUAUCGGUAAGCACUCCUUAUAGCUUCCCUAUUAAGGAGUUAAGAAAACCAUUGCUGUUUAAGUUGAUUAGUUUUCAUUUUGUUACGCUGGAUUGGAAAAACAAAGCAACAUAACAAACAAUAAGCAAUCAUAAUCUUUAUGCUUUGACUUGUCAUUCAUAAAAAAAACAACUUUUUUUUUAUCCUUUGCUUUCUGUGUGUAUUUCAUUUUCUAAUGAGUUACUCAUUAUCUGUUGGUCUGGAUGUAUCAAACAGAAAUACUUGGCUCCUAUUUCAACUUCCUUUUCACAUCAGGAAUGUCAGGAUUUGAAACGCAUUUGACUUGGCUGGGUGACCGUGUAGCGGAUAAAUAUACAGGGAAUUCAGUGUUGGGUGAUGUAGAAGGGUAUACCCCUUGCCUCUCAAUGUUCCAUAAGAAAUAUUAUUUUAUCAAUGUAGAAAUAUAUUUUCAGCUGGCUAGGUUAAUAACUGUUAAAUUUUUUUUUAUCAAUGUCUUCUGCACCUCUUUUACUUGUUUCAGUCAUUUGACUGUGGCCAUGCUGGAGCACUGCCUUUAGUCAAAGAAAUCGACCCCAAGACUUAUUCUCUGUAAGCCUAGUGCUUAUUCUAUUGGUCUCUUUUGCCGAACCGCUAAGUUACGGGGUCGUAAACACACCACCAUUGGUUGUCAAGCGAUGUUGGGGGGACAAACAUAUACACACACACAUGCACAUAUAUACAUAUAUAUGACGGGCUUCUUUCAGUUUCCGUCUGCCAAAUCUACUCACAAGUCUUUGGUCGGCCUGAGGCUAUAGUAGAAGACACUUGCCCAAGGUGCCACACAGUGGGACUGAACCUGGAACCAUGUGGUUCAUAAGCAAUAACCCAGGUUGCUAUUUUGUUUUAUUCAUUCUAGUGAUUAGAUAAGUCUCAACUUUUAUUGUUAAUUUGCAUUUAAACACCAAAUUUAAAAGCAUGGAUGUUAGGAAAAUGUUUGACCAUUUUUACUUCAUAUAAAUAUGCUAACACUAAUUGUUAUUAUCCUCCACUACCUACCUCCACUUAAAAAAUAUUUUUGCAGUUAUCUGAUUUGUAUAUUUUAUUUUGAAUCUUAAGAGUUUGAGUAAAUAUAUCCCUUAGUCAUUUGCGACUUUAUAUUCAGUUUAUUAAAUAGACCAGUUAAUUGCUAGCUAUUUAAAAUUUAGAAGCAAUUGACCAAACUGUCAUGUUUUCUACAACAAAAUAUUAUAUAUUUUAUGUAAUUUUUUGCCUUUUAAUUCAUUGAUAAACGAGUUUACAGCUAUGACAGUAACUAUUGUGAGCAUUGGGUAAAUUGUAGACACACACAUAUUUAAGUCACUAAUAAAUAUUACUCACUAUUAAAGUGUCUUAUUGUGACUUUUUCUUACUGAUGACAGAUAUAUAGUUUAAAUCUUUGUUAAAUACAUUAACCUUGAUAAGCUCUCUACUAUGAAAUGAAGUAGGACUGAAAUUUUUUUUUGUUUUUUUCCUUUCUAAAAGACUAAAACAAAUAAAAUUGUCUUGCUCUACUGUGCAAUUGUGGCCUCUACUUCUUACAGCUUGUUGGUUUUGUACCACUACCAGCUUAUUUGCAUCACUUGUGUCUCACCUCAAGACCCUGCAUUAACUAUAGCCAAUCCUUCUUCAUCAGAAUAUUGUCCCUCUAGAAUUCCAUCCGUGUUUCCUCUUCAUCUGUUCAAGAGGAACACCAAUCUACAUCAUUGAUUUCAGCAGUCCUGCAAUGGUUUAGUCUGAGCACAGCCCAGAUUAAACCAGUGUGGAAAAAAAAGGUGGUGAGCUGGCAGAAAUGUUAGCACGCCGGGCGAAAUGCUUAGCAGUAUUUUGUCUGCCGCUACAUUCUGAGUUCAAAUUCCGCCGAGGUCAGCUUUGCCUUUCAUCCUUUCGGGGUCAAUUAAAUAAGUACCAGUUACGCACUGGGGUCGAUAUAAUCGACUUAAUCCGUUUAUCUGUCCUUGUUUGUCCCCUCUGUGUGUAGCCCCUUGUGGGCAGUAAAGAAAUAAGAAACAAAGAGGUUAAUAUACUUCUUAAAAGGUUUAAUUUGCUGAUAGCAAAGUUUCUGCAAAGGAUAUUUCAUUGUGGUGGUCAUUGUAAUGUCCUGAUUAACACAUUAACCCUUUAGCAUUCAGAUUAUUCUGUCAAAUGCAAUGCUUAUUUAUUCACGUUGCUUUGAAUUAAGCAUUGUUUCGUAGCUUUGAGAUGUUGAUGAUGUGAUAGUUUAUUUUUAGGAUGACAUUCUAAGGUAGUUGUGAGAGGUCAAAUUUGGCUUGUUUGAACAUAGAGUAGGAAGAAUAUUUGAGCCAGAUGUGGCUGGUUUCACCUUUUAACAUUUAAAUUUCUCCACCAAAUGUAAUGGUUAUUUAUUCACAUUGUUUUAAAUUUAUCAUGAAUUUUCGUGUAGCCUUGAGAUUUCGAUAAUGUGAUUGUUUAUUUUUAGACUAACAUUAUAGGGUAGGUGUGAGAGGCUGGAUCUGGCCUGUUUUUACAUAAGGGUUAAACUGCAUCCACUGGUUAGGCUCCAAACUUUGGAGUUCAUGAGUUUUGGAGAGUGGAGUUAACUCUUAGCAUCUACUACUUUCAGGUCUGCUCCAGCUUGGUUAAUAGUCCCUGCCAAGGACCACAAUUCUGACAAAAUUCACAGAGGCAGAUUUCUCCUACACUCAUUGUAAUAUUUCUUUGUAACUGGACAUGUUUUUAUGGAAGAUUAGAAAUGAAUGACAAGGCAACACACACACUUUUAAGCCUUUUCCAGUUUCCAUCAACUAAAUCUGAUUAUAAGGCUUUGGUUGGUUUGGGACUAUAGUAGAAGAUAGCUAUGACUCAAAGUACCAUGCAGUUUUGAAGCGAAUGUCUUAACCACAUAGCCAUGCCACGUAAUUAUUUAUUGGGUCGAAUUCAUGCUUGAAUUUUAAACUUUUUUAAGUCCAGUUCUUUAUAAUACUUAUUUUCAUCUAUUGAUUUCAGGAAUUUUGUACAAUGCUACAAAUUUUUGUGGAAGGGCUAGAGGAGAUCAACUUGACUUCUGUGGUUCAUUCUUUAUUUCUUUUUUGUGUUGUAAUGUACAGUGGCCCGUCCGCUAGCAUAUCUUUAUCUCUUCUUUUACUUGUUUCAGUCAUUGGACAGCAGCCAUGCUGAGGCACUACCUUGAAGGGUUUAGUCAAACAGAUUGAACCAAUACUUAUUUUUUUUUAAAGUCUGGUACUUAUUUUAUCCAUCUCUUUUGUCAAACUGUUAAGUUACGGACACAUAAACGAGCCAAACGCAGGUUGUAAAGUGGCAGUGGGAGUGAGGCAUUCACACACUCACACACACAAACACACACGUGACAGGCUUGCACACGCUUUCCAUUUGCCAAAUUCCCUCACAAGGCAUCAGUUGGCUCAGGGCUAGAAUUAGAAGACACUACUCCAAAGUGCCACGUGGUGAAACUGAACCUGGAACCACAUAGUUGCAUAGUGAUUUUCUUAACCACUUGGUUAUACUUUUAUCCAUUUUUUUUCAUGUAGAGAAGUUUCCUACAUCCUACCCUUAAAGCUGUUCUCAAUUUCUGAGAAAAAGAACGUUGUAAAUAGUCAUGAAAGCUACCACAAGGUGUUUUGUCUAAUGCUCAAAUGAUUCUUCCAGUUUGUAAGCUUUUCAAUGCAUUACUGCUGCUUGUAUUUUAUUAAUCGUUCACCCUCCUGAAAGGUACAGUUGACCUUAAUGGAAUUUGCACUAAGAACAUGGAUGGAUGGGUGGGACUGGGGAUGAAAACUAGCAACAUCCUCUCCCCCAUUUAUUUUUGUUUCUGUUUUUCUCCCACUGUAAUUAUAUUAAGAAGUGAAUCUGUUUUUGAUAGAUGUAAGUCGGUCUUAACUGUCACUGCUAUUUAUUACUAAUGAUAAGGUUACUAAACUAAAUUCAUUCAUAUGAAAGCUGUGAAUGUCUUUUAUUGCUGCCGGUUUCUUUAGAGGAUAAUUUGUGCUUUUGUAUUAAUUAGUCUAGCUGAUAUACAUACAUACAUACAUAUAUAUAUAUAUAUAUAUAUAUAUAUAUAUAUAUAUAUAUAUAUAUACACACAUACACACACCCACAUAUGUACAUUUAUAUGUAUGUAUAUAUAUAUAUAUAUAUAUAUAUAUAUAUAUAUUUAUAUGUAUGUGUAUAUAUAUAUUUAUAUGUAUGUAUAUAUAUAUCUAUAUGUAUGUAUAUAUAUAUUUAUAUGUAUAUAUAUAUAUAUAUAUGUAUUUAUAUGUAUGUAUAUAUAUAUAUUAUAUAUGUAUAUAUAUAUAUUUAUAUGUAUGUAUAUAUAUAUAUUUAUAUGUAUGUAUAUAUAUAUUUAUAUGUAUAUAUAUAUAUAUAUUUAUAUGUAUGUAUAUAUAUAUAUAUAUUUAUAUGUAUGUAUAUAUAUAUAUUUAUAUGUAUGUAUAUAUAUAUAUAUAUAUAUUUAUAUGUAUGUAUAUAUAUAUAUUUAUGUGUAUGUAUGUAUAUAUAUAUAUUUAUAUGUAUGUAUGUAUAUAUAUAUAUUUAUAUGUAUGUAUGUAUAUAUAUAUAUUUAUAUGUAUGUAUGUAUAUAUAUAUAUUUAUAUGUAUGUAUAUAUAUAUAUAUAUAUAUAUAUAUAUAUAUAUAUAUAUAUAUGAUUUAUUUAUAAGGAUCUCUUUUCUCUUUUCUUAUCAUUUCAGUAGUCUGCAAUCUUGGAAGAAGAGCUGAGUGCCUUUUUCUAAGUAGAGUUUUUAUGAAUGAAGAUGUUAAACUGAGAAGAAUUUUGUUUUUUACUAUAAAGCUAGCUGUAAUUUUUAUUUGUAGGUUUUAAACUAUACAGAG